rnacentral:rRNA from 1 species
GAACGCUAGCGGGAGGCCUAACACAUGCAAGCCGAGCGGUAUUUGUCUUUCGGGACAGAGAGAGCGGCGUACGGGUGCGGAACACGUGUGCAACCUGCCUUUAUCAGGGAGAUAGCCUUUCGAAAGGAAGAUUAAUAUCCCAUAAUAUAAUGAAUGGCAUCAUUUAUUAUUGAAAGCUCCGGCGGAUAGAGAUGGGCACGCGCAAGAUUAGAUAGUUGGUGAGGUAACGGCUCACCAAGUCAGUGAUCUUUAGGGGGCCUGAGAGGGUGAUCCCCCACACUGGUACUGAGACACGGACCAGACUCCUACGGGAGGCAGCAGUGAGGAAUAUUGGACAAUGGGUGAGAGCCUGAUCCAGCCAUCCCGCGUGAAGGACGACGGUUCUAUGGAUUGUAAACUUCUUUUAUACUGGGAUAAACCUACCCUCGUGAGGGUAGCUGAAGGUACAGUAUGAAUAAGCACCGGCUAACUCCGUGCCAGCAGCCGCGGUAAUACCGGAGGGUGCAAGCGUUAUCCGGAUUUAUUGGGUUUAAAGGGUCCGUAGGCGGAUCUGUAAGUCAGUGGUGAAAUCUCACAGCUUAACUGUGAAACUGCCAUUGAUACUGCAGGUCUUGAGUAAAGUAGAAGUGGCUGGAAUAAGUAGUGUAGCGGUGAAAUGCAUAGAUAUUACUUAGAACACCAAUUGCGAAGGCAGGUCACUAUGUUUUAACUGACGCUGAUGGACGAAAGCGUGGGGAGCGAACAGGAUUAGAUACCCUGGUAGUCCACGCCGUAAACGAUGCUAACUCGUUUUUGGGUUUUCGGAUUCAGAGACUAAGCGAAAGUGAUAAGUUAGCCACCUGGGGAGUACGUUCGCAAGAAUGAAACUCAAAGGAAUUGACGGGGGCCCGCACAAGCGGUGGAUUAUGUGGUUUAAUUCGAUGAUACGCGAGGAACCUUACCAAGGCUUAAAUGGGAAUUGACAGGUUUGGAAACAGACUUUUCUUCGGACAAUUUUCAAGGUGCUGCAUGGUUGUCGUCAGCUCGUGCCGUGAGGUGUUAGGUUAAGUCCUGCAACGAGCGCAACCCCUGUCACUAGUUGCCAUCAUUCAGUUGGGGACUCUAGUGAGACUGCCUACGCAAGUAGAGAGGAAGGUGGGGAUGACGUCAAAUCAUCACGGCCCUUACGCCUUGGGCCACACACGUAAUACAAUGGCCGGUACAGAGGGCAGCUACUUAGCGAUAAGAUGCGAAUCUCGAAAGCCGGUCUCAGUUCGGAUUGGAGUCUGCAACUCGACUCUAUGAAGCUGGAAUCGCUAGUAAUCGCGCAUCAGCCAUGGCGCGGUGAAUACGUUCCCGGGCCU